rnacentral:rRNA from 1 species
CACGUAGGGGGCGAGCGUUGUCCGGAUUUAUUGGGCGUAAAGAGCUCGUAGGCGGCUCAGUAAGUCAGGUGUGAAAACUCCAGGCUCAACCUGGAGACGCCACCUGAUACUGCUGUGGCUAGAGUCCGGUAGGGGAGCCUGGAAUUCCUGGUGUAGCGGUGAAAUGCGCAGAUAUCAGGAGGAACACCAGUGGCGAAGGCGGUGCUCUGGGCCGGAACUGACGCUGAGGAGCGAAAGCGUGGGGAGCAAACAGG